rnacentral:rRNA from 1 species
CCUACGGGCGGCAGCAGUGAGGAAUAUUGGUCAAUGGGCUUACGCCUGAACCAGCCAAGUCGCGUGAGGGAAGACUGCCCUAUGGGUUGUAAACCUCUUUUGUCAGGGAGCAAGUGGCGCUACGUGUAGCGUUAUCGAGAGGACCUGAAGAAAAAGCAGCGGCUAACUCCGUGCCAGCAGCCGAGGUAAUAAGGAGGAUGCGAGCGUGAGCCGGAUUGAUUGGGUUGACCGGGGGCGUAGGCGGAAUGCCAAGUCAGCGGUAAAAUCGCGGGGCUCCACCUCGCUCCGCCGUUGAAACUGGCGUUCUUGAGUGGGCGUGACGUAUGCGGAAUGCGUGUUGUAGCGGU